GAUUGCAUGGCUCAGUUGGUUAGAGCGUGGCACUGAUAAUGCCAAGGUUGCAGGUUCGAACCCCGUAUCGGACA